rnacentral:rRNA from 1 species
CACGUAGGGCGCAAGCGUUGUCCGGAAUUAUUGGGCGUAAAGAGCUCGUAGGCGGUCUGUUGCGUCCGCUGUGAAAACUCGGGGCUUAACUCCGGGCCUGCAGUGGGUACGGGCAGACUAGAGUGCGGUAGGGGAGACUGGAAUUCCUGGUGUAGCGGUGAAAUGCGCAGAUAUCAGGAGGAACACCAAUUGCGAAGGCAGCUCGCUGGGACGUUACUGACGCUGAAACGCGAAAGCGUGGGGAGCAAACAGG